UACGUAGGGUGCAAGCGUUGUCCGGAAUUAUUGGGCGUAAAGAGCGUGUAGGCGGCCAGGUAGGUCUGCUGUGAAAACUCGAGGCUCAACCUCGAGACGUCGGCGGAAACCAUCUGGCUAGAGUCCGGAAGAGGAGAGUGGAAUUCCUGGUGUAGCGGUGAAAUGCGCAGAUAUCUGGAGGAAUACCGGUGGCGAAGGCGGCAUCCUGGACCGACAUUGACGCUGAGGAGCGAAAGCUAGGGGAGCAAACGGG
rnacentral:rRNA from 1 species